GACGAACGCUGGCGGCGUGCUUAACACAUGCAAGUCGAACGGAAAGGCCCUGCUUUUGUGGGGUGCUCGAGUGGCGAAGGGGUGAGUAACACGUGAGUAACCUGCCCUUUACUUUGGGAUAACUUCAGGCAACUGGGGCUACUACCGGAUAGGAGCUCCUGCUGCAUGGGGGGGGUUGGAACGUUUCGGCGGUGGGGGAUGGACUCGGGGGUUAUCAGCUUGUUGGUGGGGUAGUGGCCUACCAAGGGUUUGACGGGUAGCCGGCCUGAGAGGGUGACCGGGCACAUGAGGACUGAGAGACGGACCAGACGCCUACGGGAGGCAGCAGGGGGGAAUAUUGCACAAUGGGCGGGAGCCUGAUGCAGCAACGCCGCGUGCGGGAUGACGGCCUUCGGGUUGUAAACCGCUUUCGCCUGUGACGAAGCGGGAGUGACGGUAAUGGGUAAAGAAGCACCGGCUAACUACGUG
rnacentral:rRNA from 1 species